AUUGAGGACCACAUGUCAUCCCUGAUGCUCACCCUUGGACACCAUGGAUAAAGAAGGAGGAUGGCACAGGGGAUGUUUCUGCAGAUACGAAUUAAGAAUCUCGAGUUGCAAUCAUCUUGGAUUUAGACUGAAACUUAAUUGAUGUCAUCAUGAGAGAGCAGAGGACUCCCAGGGCACAGGGAGACAGGACUGAUAUGGCCAUCAGGCAGGAGCACCCGGGACUGCCAUAGCACCAACCUGGGACAGAUAGGGAAGGACCCUAGAGACCCAGGGAUCACAGCCCCAUGGCACCUUGAUCAGGACUGGUGAGUAAUCUCUGCUGUCAGUUUGACUGGAGUCAGAGACCUUGGAGAGGUG
rnacentral:lncRNA from 1 species